rfam:Laccaria bicolor S238N-H82 LACBIscaffold_175 genomic scaffold, whole genome shotgun sequence.
UGUCCCAUGGCUUAGUUGGUUACGGCGUCCGACUGUUAGCGAAAUGCGUGAUCGGAAGAUCGAGAGUUCGAGUCUCUCUGGGACAG